CCUACGGGUGGCUGCAGUGGGGAAUAUUGGGCAAUGGACGCAAGUCUGACCCAGCAACGCCGCGUGAAGGAAGAAGGCUUUCGGGUUGUAAACUUCUUUUAAGGGGGAAGAGCAGAAGACGGUACCCCUUGAAUAAGCCACGGCUCACUACGGGCCAGCAGCCGCGGUAAUACGUAGGUGGCAAGCGUUGUCCGGAUUUACUGGGUGUAAAGGGCGUGCAGCCGGGGGGACAAGUCAGAUGUGAAAUCCUCGGGCUCAACCGGUGAACUGCAUUUGAAACUGUUUCCCUGGAGUGUGGGAGAGGUAAUCGGAAUUCCUGGUGUAGCGGGGAAAUGCGUAGAUAUAAGGAAGAACACCAGUGGCGAAGGCGGAUUACUGGACGAUAACUGACGGUGAGGCGCGAAAGCGUGGGGAGCAAACAGGAUUAGAUACCCGGGUAGUC
rnacentral:rRNA from 1 species